rnacentral:rRNA from 1 species
UUAAUUCGAUGCAACGCGAAAAACCUUACCCACCUUUGACAUGGCAGGAAUCCUGAAGAGAUUCGGGAGUGCUCGAAAGAGAACCUGCACACAGGUGCUGCAUGGCUGUCGUCAGCUCGUGUCGUGAGAUGUUGGGUUAAGUCCCGCAACGAGCGCAACCCUUGUCAUUAGUUGCUACAUUCAGUUGGGCACUCUAAUGAGACUGCCGGUGACAAACCGGAGGAAGGUGGGGAUGACGUCAAGUCCUCAUGGCCCUUAUAGGUGGGGCUACACACGUCAUACAAUGGAUGGUACAAAGGGUCGCCAACCCGCGAGGGGGAGCCAAUCCCAUAAAGCCAUUCGUAGUCCGGAUCGCAGUCUGCAACUCGACUGCGUGAAGUCGGAAUCGCUAGUAAUCGUGGAUCAGAAUGUCACGGUGAAUACGUUCCCGGGUCUUGUACACACCGCCCGUCACACCAUGGGAGCGGGUUCUGCCAGAAGUAGUUAGCCUAACCGCAAGGAGGGCGAUUACCACGGCAGGGUUCGUGACUGGGGUGAAGUCGUAACAAGGUAGCC